rnacentral:rRNA from 1 species
CCCUAGUAACGGCGAGUGAAGAGGGAAGAGCCCAAGAUUGAAAGCUGGCGUCUUCGGCGUCCGCAUUGUAAUCUCAAGAAGUGUUUUCCGCUUCGGACCAUGCCUAAGUCCCUUGGAAAAGGGCAUCAUAGAGGGUGAUAAUCCCGUACAUGGCAUGGAGCGCCCGAGGCUUUGUGAUACGCUUUCUAAGAGUCGAGUUGUUUGGGAAUGCAGCUCAAAAUGGGUGGUAAAUGCCAUCUAAGGCUAAAUAUUGGGGAGAGACCGAUAGCGAACAAGUACAGUGAUGGAAAGAUGAAAAGAACUUUGAAAAGAGAGUUAAACAGUACGUGAAAUUGCCAAAAGGGAAGGGUAGGAGGUCAGAGAUGCGUUCUGGGAUUCAGCCUUGCUUUUGCUUGGUGUUUUUCCCAGAUUGCAGGCCAACGUCGGUUUUGGGCGCUGGAGAAGGGUGGAAGGAAUGUGGCACCCCUCGGGGUGUGUUAUAGCCUUCUACUGGAUACAGUGACCGAGACCGAGGACAGCAGCGUACUCGCAAGAGCGGGCCUUCGGGCACCUUUACGCUUAGGGCGUUGGCAUAAUGGCCCUCUACCAC